AACGAACGCUGGCGGCAGGCUUAACACAUGCAAGUCGAGCGCCCCGCAAGGGGAGUGGCAGACGGGUGAGUAACGCGUGGGAAUCUACCCAUCUCUACGGAAUAACGCAUGGAAACGUGUGCUAAUACCGUAUACGUCCUUCGGGGGAAAGAUUUAUCGGAGAUGGAUGAGCCCGCGUUGGAUUAGCUAGUUGGUGGGGUAAAGGCCUACCAAGGCGACGAUCCAUAGCUGGUCUGAGAGGAUGAUCAGCCACACUGGGACUGAGACACGGCCCAGACUCCUACGGGAGGCAGCAGUGGGGAAUAUUGGACAAUGGGCGCAAGCCUGAUCCAGCCAUGCCGCGUGAGUGAUGAAGGCCCUAGGGUUGUAAAGCUCUUUCACCGGUGAAGAUAAUGACGGUAACCGGAGAAGAAGCCCCGGCUAACUUCGUGCCAGCAGCCGCAGUAACAC
rnacentral:rRNA from 1 species